rnacentral:rRNA from 1 species
AACGAACGCUGGCGGCGUGCCUAACACAUGCAAGUCGUGCGAGAAAGUUCCUUCGGGAGCGAGUAAAGCGGCGCACGGGUGAGUAACACGUAGGUAACCUGCCCCCCAGUCUGGAACAACUAGAGGAAACUCUAGCUAAUGCCGGAUGAGACCACGAUCCCUUCGGGGUUGCGGCCAAAGAUGGCCUCUACUUGUAAGCUAUCGCUGAGGGAUGGGCCUGCGGGCCAUUAGCUUGUUGGUGAGGUAACGGCUCACCAAGGCUGUGAUGGCUAGCUGGUCUGAGAGGAUGACCAGCCACACUGGGACUGAGACACGGCCCAGACUCCUACGGGAGCAGCAGUGGGAAUAUUGCGCAAUGGGCGAAAGCCUGACGCAGCGACGCCGCGUGGGUGAUGAAGCCUCGGUCGUAAGACCUGUCG